AAUGAACGCUGGCGGCGUGCCUAACACAUGCAAGUCGGAUGUGCCGCAAGGUGCAUGGCAGACGGGUGAGUAACGCGUAGGGAAUCUACCUUUUUGUGGGGAAUAACGCUCCGAAAGGAGUGGUAAUACCGCAUGAGACCGUGAGCUGGGAUGUUCACGGUGAAACCUGGGGACCGCAAGGCCUGGGGCAAAAAGAGGAUCCUGCGUCUGAUUAGCUAGUUGGCGGGGUAAUGGCCCACCAAGGCGACGAUCAGUAGCCGGCCUGAGAGGGUGAUCGGCCACACUGGAACUGAGACACGGUCCAGACUCCUACGGGAGGCAGCAGUGGGGAAUUUUGCGCAAAGGACGAAAGUCUGACGCAGCAACGCCGCGUGGGUGAUGAAGGUCUUCGGACUGUAAAACCCUGUCGUCAGGGACGAAGGUGGCAGUGUUAAUAGCGCUGUUACUUGACGGUACCUGGAGAGGAAGCCCCGGCUAACUCUGUG
rnacentral:rRNA from 1 species